UAAACGCGGUGGCGCAGUAUCCUAGUCGGUACUGUCGAUCCCGAAGGCGGGCCUAAAAAUCCGCAAAGGGCAUAUCGAUGAAGUUUCUGGUGUUGGCUCACGACGCCCAGUCGAGGGCUGAUGCUGGGAGUUAAGGUGGAUGGGCGGCCUGCAACGGCAUGCGGGACAUCGACCCACCUCCGUGGAGACCCUGUAGGUGGUACGCUUAUAUGUAUUACCGAAUGGGAAUAAACCUGUUUAUGCGGCGCAAGCUGUGUACAGAGUAGCCUGCCUUGAGUUGGGCCAAUGGGAUCGGGGGAGCGGAGCCGGGCGUCUGGCCAGACGCCAGCCAAAGCGAUACUACCCUGUGAAACUGGAUCUGGCAAAAGAGGAUAGGGAUCGAAUGUGUGCUGUCGAGGAAAGCUCCUAGGCUGUUCUUGAAGGCGCGUUGGGGAUUAUAGUGUGGCAUAGCAUACGGCAAUCCGGUCAUAGUCAUGGCGACAUGGUAUUGCGGGGUUUAAAGGGAAACCGCUCUUAACGGCGACGGAGAGUAACCCGUAGGGAAAUCCUACCGGACCAUAGCUGCAAGGUUUAUCCGACGCGUUGCCACCGUUUUAUUUAUU
rnacentral:sRNA from 1 species